CUUCUGUUGGUAGAGCAGGAGGAAUUCUUGGUAGUUUCAAGAUCUCUAGAUUUGAUAUCUGUGACACCAUUGUUAGUAGAUUCUACAUAAAGAUAAAGAAGAUGCCAAGGGAACACAACUGCGGAAGCACAUGGACAAUGGACAAAAACUGCAUGAUAAAUAAUCAUUAGGUUGCACAUGGCUAUUGGGUUACCCCGUGGAUCAUGGGCGGAUCCAGCCUAUUGACAAGGGGGGCAGCUGCCCCCACUCAAAUCUCUAAACUCCUUGUAAAAGGUAGCUUAAAUGGUGGUUUGCCCCCACUUAGGAAAUGAUUUUUCUUCAAUAACUAAAUUCUUGCCCCCUCUCAUUUUUAAUUCUAGCUCCGCCCUUGCCGUGGAUUAGUUAUAUCUAGUGACGUGGGUAAAGGUAUAGAUGUUGCUGUUACCCAAGUUUUCACAAAUGGAGUGGAGCAUAGAGAGUGAAUGC